CUGGGGUUUACUGUGAUUAAGAGAUA
rnacentral:piRNA from 1 species